rnacentral:lncRNA from 1 species
CAACAACGGGUUGUCUGAUUCAUCUGAAAAUUUCAGGGCAGAUAGAUCUUGACCUGAUAAACAAUAUUACCCCAUGUCAGAUUUGCUCUAAAUGCUUUGGUUUUUGAGUUAUAAGCCAAAAACUGCAUUUGACCCCUAUGUUCUAUUUUUAGCAAUGGCGACCAUGUUUGUUGAUAGAUCAAAACUUCGGAUACAAUUUAUAAAUUAGAUACCCUAAGGAACAUUCAGUUAAAGUUUGAAAGUAUUUGGCCCAGUAGUUUCAGAGGAGAAGAUUCUUGAAAUAGUUUACGACGACGACGGACGACGACGGACGCCAAGUGAUGGCAUUAGCUCACUUGUCCCUUCGGGACAGGUGAGCUAAUAAAAAUGUAUUAUACAUGUAGAAAGGUAAAGAAUAUAUAGACCAGCAGUGUUAAUAAACAACACACCUACACCAUUGAAUACAUGGCACAAAUAUUCAAGAAGAAACAAAAGCAGUAAUUUGAAGAAAGCAUCUUUAUUAAAUGCCUUUUAUUAUUUAUUGCUCUUAUAACAGUUUUUGAUUUUCAAACAAAAUAAGAACACCUAUUAUCCAUCUUAAAACAUUACAUGUGUUAAACUAAAUAUUUUAAAUGACCUGUACAUUUUAAUCUUCACAAGGUAGAUGUACAAUGAGUAUGUAAAUGAAGGUCAAUUGAUUGGCCUCUUACCCUAAGAACUCAGCACCAAAAAGAGUAAAAGAUGGGGACUAACUGUAUACAAAAUAAAUGCCCUUGAUUCAGUAGGUAACUCAAGGUAAUGAGGAAAACAAUAGUGAGUUUGAUUUACAGCACUUAGAUCACAAUAAAAUUAAAAUGAAGUGUAUUUUUUUCACAAAACAGAUCCACUUACAUUUAACUGAACUUACUAAAUA